AACUGCAAUAAUGUGAGGGUUUUAAUACUUAUUUAAAUCAAUCAACUGAGGGUGAAAGCGAACGCGAUUUUAAAAAAGUACAUACAUGUCUAAAGAAGGAAAUAUUACAGCUUGAUGACGUAAAAUAUCCAUUAUGGAAUGCUUCGUAGACAGAGGAUUGAAAUAUGAAAGCAAAAAACUUUAGAAAACAGCCCAGAUGACGAUAAAAAGCGCGUAAAAUGGAAGGAGAAAAUUAUCAUCAACGGUGAUGCCAGGAUUUCGCCAAAAAUACACAAAAA